rnacentral:rRNA from 1 species
UACGGGGGGGGCAAGCGUUGUUCGGAAUUACUGGGCGUAAAGGGCUCGUAGGUGGCCAACUAAGUCGGACGUGAAAUCCCUCAGCUUAACUUGGAAACUGCCGUGGAUACUAUUAGUCUUGAAUAUUGUGGAGGUAAGCGGAAUAUGUCAUGUAGCGGUGAAAUGCUUAGAUAUGCCAUAGAACACCGAUAGCGAAGGCAGCUUGCUACACAAUCAUUGACACUGAGGCACGAAAGCGUGGGGAUCAAACAGG